GAUGUAUUAGCUCAGUGGGUUGAGCACAGUGCUGACGACAGUGACAACACUGAGGUUGCGGGUUCGAUUCCCGCUCG
rnacentral:tRNA from 1 species